GCCUAGCGCUAAGGCUUAAUGUGGUUGUCGCAAGGCAAUCGUUGAAAAGCAUUGAGCGGUGCAGCGUUACAAACUCUGAUGGAUAGUGGUGUCAAUGUGAUGUUGAGUGCUACACUCAGGUGUGGUUAUUGAGCAUUGCUUUCGGCCUAGCGUACAAGUCCCAUUGACUUGGGCUUAUUCUUAAUUGAGAUGUCUACGGGUUUGGGGCAACUUGGAUCCGUGGAUGAGCCAUAGAGGGUGAAAGUCCCUUAAUGCGCAGGUAUUGAUGCUACGAAUCGGAGCAGUGGUGUCUGGUAAAACAGGCGCUGCGAUUUGUUAGAGUCGGGUUGCUUGAGAGUGCAACCUAAAGAGCGAGGUAAACUGCUCGUAAGGCUAUUGUUAAAUACGGCUACGACACCGAUAGCAAACAAGUACCGUGAGGGAAAGUUGCAAAGUACUUUGAAGAGAGAGUUAAACAGGGCGUGAAACCGCUAGCUGGUAAACGAGUGGAGCCACGAAGUCGUUUCGUAGAAUACGAGGCGCAAAUUCAGCUGUGGUCCCUUGAAAGGGGGCUGUAGCGUAUUUUUGCUUGUCUCGCUACUGUAAGCGUACACUGCAACCAAUUAGACGGCCAAUCGUGGAAACAGUUUACAAGUUGACAGGGAAACUUGUUGCUUGUAAGCGACCAAAUUUGUGUAUCUACUGUGUAGGUAGCCUGUCUUUGUGCACAACACUUCGGUUUUGUGCACGAUUCUGGGUGUCUGACACAAGAUGCGUGAACUACGAUUGGGUACUGAUUGGCACAAUGAAAAUCGAAUCGCAAGAUUCGUAUGUCCAUAUAAAGCGGCUAGUAUCGUAUUUGGGUACAAUUGCGCGCUGCCAGUAUAAGCUUGAUAUUUUUGAAUUCAGGCACGUAUAUUGUUAGUGGGCUUGCUCGUUGACAUAUACGCUGUCUCCUGUCUAAUCGGCUAUUAACUUUGCUGGUAGUUUUGUGUAGUUGCUACGAUAGCACUGAAUACGAUAGCUAGUUUGCAAUGAUUAGCAGUGAGUAGGUCGGCUUUCCACACGACCCGUCUUGAAACACGGACCAAGGAGUCUAGUUAAGUAUCGAGUCGAUCGGUCUUGAUUAGGCCAGACAUUGAAGGUUGUUGUCCGUAAAACAGGCAACAAUAUUUAGCUUCAAAUAUGUAAAAUAAUGACGGCACAGUGAAAUCAAAUUAUAUGUGAUCUGAGGUCUAUAAAAAUGGCCUACAGCGCAACAUAUGCCCACUCGUAUGGUUAUACGCGCAAGUGUUAACUGGGUGGAGCAAAGAGAUACUUGACUGGUACCCGAAAGAUGGUGAACUAUUCCUGGCCAGAUUGAAGCCAGAGGAAACUCUGGUGGAGGAUUGUAGCGAUUCUGACGUGCAAAUCGAUCGUCAGAGCUGGGUAUAGGGGCGAAAGACUAAUCGAACCAUCUAGUAGCUGGUUCCCUCCGAAGUUUCCCUCAGGAUAGCAAGCUCUCGCACAAAUGUGAAUCAGUUUCAUCUGGUAAAGCGAAUGAUUAGAGGUCUUGGGAGCGAAACGCUCUCAACCUAUUCUCAAACUUUAAAUGGGUGAGAUGCACGACGUACUUAAACACACUAAUGACGCCGUGUGCUAUAAACACAGAAUGUAUUGAGAGCUUAGUGGGCCAUUUUUGGUAAGCAGAACUGGCGAUGCGGGAUGAACCGAAAGUGAAGUUAAGGUUGCCGAUAAUGGUGCUAACAAUUUGUGCACUAGCUACACUCAUGAGAUCCCAUGAAAGGUGUAAGUUGCUAAAGACAGCAAGGACGUGGCCAUGGAAGUCGGAAACAUCUAAGGAGUGUGUAACAACUCACUUGCCGAAGCAACUUGCCCUGAAAAUGGAAGCAGCUCGAGUGUUGAACCUAUACUUCACCGUUGAAUUAUCGUUCGUACAUACAUGCGAUUAGUUAUGAUUCAACGUGUAGGAGGGUUGUGUUGGUAGCGUUGAAGGCUAUGAGGGAGUGAUCCUGGCUGGAGCUGCCAAUAGUACAGAUCUUGGUGGUAGUAGCAAAUACUCAAGUGAGACCCUUGAGGGCCAAUGUGGAGAAGGGUUCCAUGCUAACAGCAAUUGGACAUGGGUCAGUCGGUCCUAAGAGAAUGGCGAAAGCUAUUUCUGAAUCAAAGGCAGUGUAAGCAAAACAUGAAACAUAUUUAUGCCAUAUAUUUUUGUUUUUCGUGUAUUUGUGCAUUUUUACUUGUGUGUUGUGUGUAAAAGCUAAAAGUGCAUGAUGCUGAUAUGAGUGUGUGUAAAUGUGUGUGUGAGCGUUGUGCUUAAUGUCACCUUUGAACACGCUCGUGUGUGUGUGCAAAUACGCAUACACAUAUGUGUGCGUGUACGCGCACUCACUAUCUCAUACUCACACAUAUAUAUAUACACACACACACACUAAUCAAAUCAAGCACGCAAAUUAAGCAUACACAGAAAAUGUGAGUAUAAACAAAAUAAACAAUAACGACUAACAAUAUAUAUUAUAUGGUAUGUACACAAAUAUGAACACUGUAUGACUCGAAAGGGAAUUAGGUUAAUAUUCCUAAACCAAGAUGGGGAGAUUGAUAUUUGUGCGGUUAUUCUUUUAGCUGUGCAAGCAUCAUUGGCGGUAACGCAAACAAGCACGAUGACGCCGGCGGCAGCCCUGGGAAGAGUUGUCUUUUCUUUGUAAGCUUACUGAGUUUUUAACGAGACCUUGGAAUCGAAUCAUUCGAAGAUAAGGUCGUAGUAAGCGUAAAGCAGUGCGGUUCUAGUACUGUCCAGAGAGCUGUCUUCGGCCCUUGAAAAAUCGUGUACGCGGAGUAUAGCAUGUGUGUUGUCUUUAACCGGGCAGCGUGUGUGUUAUGCGUUGAUUCUCCCACUUGGCCGUACCCAUAUCCGCAGCAGGUCUCCAAGGUUAACAGCCUCUGGUCACUUAGGAUAAUGUAGGUAAGGGAAGUCGGCAAAACGGAUCCGUAACUUCGGGAUAAGGAUUGGCUCUGAGGAUCGAGUUGGUCGGGCUGUCAGCGAGAUACUUUCAUGAGUUUGUCAUCUGUACUGAUGGUUUGGUUGCACAAAUGUGUAUGUUCGCAUGCGUGCUUGUGCUGACUUUUCCAAUCGGAAUGGAUCGCUCGUUUGUUGAUCGCUACAGCUACGUUGGUGAGUGUUCAAGUAUGCUUUUGUGUGCUUGGAUGCUUGUCGUUUAAAAGCGUCAUCGGCCAACAACUAACGAUCGAAUCAGAACUGGCACGGACCACGGGAAUCCGACUGUCUAAUUAAAACAAAGCAUUGCGAUGGCCUAAGAUUGUGGUGUUGACGCAAUGUGAUUUCUGCCCAGUGCUAUGAAUGUCACAGUGAAGAAAUUCAUCUAAGCGCUAGUAAACGGCGGGAGUAACUAUGACUCUCUUGUGGUAGCCAAAUGCCUCGUCAUCUAAUUAGUGACGCGCAUGAAUGGAUUAACGAGAUUCCCACUGUCCCUAUCUACUACCUAGCGAAACCACAGCCAAGGGAACGGGCUUGGCAAAAUCAGCGGGGAAAGAAGACCCUGUUGAGCUUGACUCUAGUCUGGCUUUGUGAAGAGACAUGAGAGGUGUAGCAUAGGUGGGAGAUGUGUGUAUUCUGUAUGCGCAUCGAAAGUGAAAUACCACUACUUUCAUUGUUUCUUUACUGACUCGGUUAAAUGGAGAAUGCAUUUGUAGUGUGUGCGCUCGAAAGGGUGUCACACUCGAAGUAGCGUAAAAACCUAUCAAGUCAAGCAUUGUUUUAGCUGUAGCGUGUUUGGUUGGUGUGUUUUAAUGCACAUUUGUGUCACUGUGUGCUGCUUGUGUUUGUGCUUGCACAUCACUUCACUCACGUGUGUACACUUGUGUGUAUGUAGCAUUAGCCUGCGUUACCGUCAAUGCUCGAGCAAAUGCUUGCUUAUCGAAUUAAAGCAUCUAGUUCUGGUGUGUAAGCGUACUCUUUGGUUGAUAGUGUGUUGUGUAUUUAUAUGCAGCAUCUCUCUCAGUCAAAGUGUGCGUAUAUCAGGAUCUAGUGUGAUCCCCUCCGGGGACAGUGUCAGGCGGGGAGUUUGACUGGGGCGGUACAUCUGUUAAAUAAUAACGCAGGUGUCCUAAGGUUAGCUCAGUGAGCACAGAAACCUCACGUAGAGUAAAAGGGCAAAAGCUAACUUGAUCUAUGACCUUNAGUACUGGUAUAGACCGCGAAAGCGUGGCCUAUCGAUCCUUUUGUUGUUGUUAAACGGUUGACAGUUUCAAGUAAGAGGUGUCAGAAAAGUUACCACAGGGAUAACUGG
rnacentral:rRNA from 1 species